rnacentral:lncRNA from 1 species
CAGAAUUAAAUUAAAAAAAAUUCUAUAUUUCGAUUCUAUUUCUCCAUCUCUCCAUAUCUAGAGAAGAACGUAUAUAAAAAUCUUUAGUGAAAGUUAAGAACUCAUUGAAACUAAUUGAUUCUAUUUUGCAACCUUUGUGUUUUGUCUAACUUUAUAACUUUUUAUUUUCUCUGAAUUAUUAUAUAGACCCCAUGUAUAUCUUGCCCUUAACCCAAUAGAGAAAAUUGCUUAAUGAAAUUUUGUAUGACUAAUUGUCAAUUUUGAGCGAUGCAAAAUAGGUUCUUUUCUUUCUAUUUUGUCGUCAAAAUACCUUUUUUGUUUUAGAUUUAUGAAAAAUAAAUAAA